rnacentral:rRNA from 1 species
CUACGGGCGGCUCCAGUGAGGAAUAUUGGUCAAUGGGCGCAAGCCUGAACCAGCCAUGCCGCGUGCAGGAUGACGGCCCUAUGGGUUGUAAACUGCUUUUAUUAAGGAAUAACCCCCCGGUCGUGCAUCGGGGCUGAACGUACUUAAAGAAUAAGCAUCGGCUAACUCCGUGCCAGCAGCCGCGGUAAUACGGAGGAUGCAAGCGUUAUCCGGAUUCAUUGGGUUUAAAGGGUUCGCAGGCGGCGUAUUAAGUCAGUGGUGAAAUCCCUCGGCUCAACCGAGGAACUGCCAUUGAUACUGGUAUGCUAGAGUAUAGUUGGCGUAGGCGGAAUAUUUCAUGUAGCGGUGAAAUGCUUAGAUAUGAAAUAGAACACCGAUCGCGAAGGCAGCUUACGAAGCUAUAACUGACGCUCAGGAACGAAAGCGUGGGGAGCGAACAGGAUUAGAUACCCUAGUAGUC